GCAAACAGAAAGACUAAUUUGACUUCUACCACUUGGAGAUAAAUUAUUUGCCAGAUAUCGUGUUAAGUCUUUUCACCCACUUAAGCUGCAGAAGGUUAACAAAUGUUACAAACGAAAACAAAGGAAUGAUCCGAAUCCAAGCACACAAACAGUGGCAAAAUAGAGGAAAGUAGGGAAAUGUUUUCUAAAACUUCUUAAUACUGUCCAAUAAGCACUGGUUGGGGGAGAAAUGUCAUAAUUAAAAGAUAAUCAUAAUUAUUUAGAAGAUAAAACGAACAGCGGAGCUUACUCAAUGCUUCACAGCCCCAUUUCUACCCAGAGCCCUCCCUUCACUAGACUGUUCCUUCCUUCACUUUAGCCUGAGAAGGGCAAGUUCACUAAUAGCUAAUCUCCUACCUAAGUAUUUCCUUUUAUGGGAGCAGCUGAAGACAAUAUUUGCUGGUUCAUAAUCUGAGGAUCUGGAAGGGGCCUUUUCCUGCCGAAGAGAGGGAUGUGAAUGACUACCAACUCUCUUUUCUGGAGAAGGAGUGGUGUGUGCCUUCUCUGGUGUACUGGCUCUCUGCUUGAUUAGCCCUAACUCCUACAGAGCUUUGCUUUGUCUCCUCAUUGGAUUUAAAAGAAUAGCUGUGUCUCUUCAGUGUCUAUCAAGUCCUGCUGUGGGGAGUGAGACCUUCAGUUGCUUUCACCACAAGCUUUUCAGAUUCAGUGAUGAUCAGCCAUUAUAUGGAGACAGAAACUCAUAGUUUCCCAGCUCCCAUUCACCAAAUUCCUUAGGUUGCAAAUCCUGCUUGCAAGUGGCCACGGGUAAAUCUUUAUAAAUCCUGCCUUGAAUACAAGAUUUUGAAAUGAGAACUUGUAGAAUGAAAGACUGGCACAAUGAACAGUAUAGCAGAAUCCAUUCAUUCCAGCAAAAGACCAUCCCAAGGAAAAUAAAUGCUUACACAAUUAUACUUCGAGCAGUUUUUGACAGGUUUGUUUGCUUUUUAUUAACUCUGAUGGACAGUUCUGUGGUGGAUCCGGAGCACUGAAUCUUUGACCUUUUUCAGACUGACAGGGCUUGCUGUGAAGCAAGCAAGGAAAUAAACAAAACACAGAAAGACCUUUACGUCACUCACCAUCAUGACAAAACUGCAAUUGGAGCAACUCUGGCAAAUGCAAAAGUAAACAUUCGUACAAGUAGCCAUUGAAAUUACUUAGUGACUUAAAGUGUUUAACUGCAUCAUAAAUUGCAUUAUAAACAACAACAACAACAACAACAACAACAACAACAACAACAGGAUUUUGUGUUCAAUGGAAUAAGAGUUCCAGAACCCAUGCUACAUGCACAUGUUUGCUUGGGCUUUGGCAGUUUUUCUAGUUUUGUUCUGGGUGGAGGAUAAAGGUACUAUAUGUUCAGUAUCUUUAUGAAUGUUGCAGUGAUAUAUUGACACACAGAGACAUGGUGUGUGUGUGUGUGAGAGAUCAUUCACAGAUUUUUUUAAUAAUGGAUAGCUCUCUUCCAUUUUGAAGCUUUCCAUGUUUUCCCACCAUUUCUUCCCCCUUCCUUAUCAUUCAAAGGAAGAGAAACAGAAUUAGCUGUACAAAUCAUUCAUUCUACAGAAGUAGGUGAACAAAUCUUUAAGAACUAGGACCUAUCUAUCUAGACAUAUGAAAAGGGAGGGUGCUACUGGAGCACUGAAUAUGGCUAAUUCUCACUGCCUUCUUGCAAUAGAAGGCUCUCAAUGCACCCAUUGUUUCCUUGACUGGUUCAUGGCAUGAAGGAUGAAGGAUUCACAGAUGUCUUUUGGCCGAUGAAAGAUGGGCAGGCAGACAGAUAAUUACACUUUGAGGGUGGGUGGAAGGAGGAUAUAUGUAAUUGUUUGACAAUUGUUACAUAACUGUAGGCAGUGCCACAUAAAUGGGUUCCAUGCCAGCAAGGCAGUAAAUUACUCUGGGUUUUAGUCCAGGAGCCAUCCAAGGUGCUGAAUUCUAUCCCUGAAAUAGCUUCACCUCCUGUAAAGCUCAGAGUCAGAGUCAAUUCACUUUUCCAUUGACACUGGGUGCAUCUAUACACUGUAGAAUUAAUGCAUGUUGACACCACUUUAACUGUCAUAACUCAAUGCUAUGGAAUCCUGGCUGUAGUUUGUGGAAGCACCAGCACUAUUUGGCAAAAAAUUACAACUCCCAUAAGUCCAUAAUACUGAGCAAUGGCAGUUAAAGUGCUGUCAAACUGUAUUGAUUCUAUAGUGUAGAUGCACCCAAUGAAGUAAGUGGCCACCUCUGAACAUGGCAUUAAAUGUUCCAGCUGUUGUACUCACGGCAACCAUCAUGGUUGCACCUGCGAAUGAAAAUGACUCCCUACUGAUACUAUUUUUUUAACUAAAUUAAAACUGCUUGCAUAAAGGUGAAAAUCAGAGCAUGGAAGUAAAUAAUUAUAAAUAAUUAGUUAAAUACAAGUGAUAUCUUUUUGCAAUUACUAAUGUGUGGAUUAGGUAUGCUACAACUGUGGAUUACAGAGAGAUAACAUCAGUCUCUUUGCUUCAGAACUAUUUUUGUUACUUUGAUAGUUAGAAAGGGCUCAUGGCUUGCACAGAGGUAUGCUUUGUACCAAAGCUAAAUACUUUUGGGGCAUCCUUAUGAUUAAAGAAAAAAAAAUCAACUAAGUAUUUUUGAUUAAUGAGAAAACACCAAUUCUUUAAGAAUCUUAGAUAUAAUGGUAAAUCAUUAUUGCGGGCCUUGGAGUUGUAAUUUGAACAAACUACAUUUGGAACAAACUACCAAGCAGCUGUAAAAUUCCCCUGCAGAUCUGCCAUAUUUAAUUCUCACAGUGUGGUUAGAGAAUACCUCUUGACUCGACUGCAUCCCAUUUUCGUUUUACUUUUUCUUAUAUUAUUAUUAUUAGUAAUAGUUGUUGUAUUUGUAGUGAAUUACUUGUUUUAUUAGGUUUAGCUAGUUGGUUUAUUGUAUUUUUCUUGCCUGCAAGCACCACUGUACCAGGUUAACUCAUGGUCUUUGCUCAUGGUUUAUUACAAUUUGGAUAAUGUCUGUUAAUCUUGUAGUGGAUAAACAUAUAAAACAUAUAAAAAUCCUGCCUCCAGGUGAGGGCUUCUUGUCCCUUCCAGCCACCAUAUCAUUCACAGAGGCAGUUUGGAGGAGUGGCUGAAUAAAAAUCUAUCCAUAUUUAUUUAGAUAGAGUGAACCUUAAAAGAUCCUGUCUAGUCAUAAGGCUGCCAUGGUACAAGUGGUUUUUCAGAUGAAAAGAAACAGCAGUCAAAAGCCUGGUGCCCUUGAGGCUGUAAGCAAAGCACAAUAACCUCAUGCCAUUUUUUAAAAAUCCUCUUCACAAUAUAAAGUUUGCUUAGCAACAGACUGUCAUUGUCAUUCCCUCACUCAAUCUCUUUGGGCGCUUGCCCACUGUUAACUAUACAGGCAGAUGGCUGUCCAUGUGUCUGAAAAUGGACAUUGUAUAUUCCCCUGUAUUUUAAAAACUGCUUUUAAAAUGUCAUAUAUAAGAGUUGCACUGUCAUUGUAUUUUUUUCCCCUUAAAUUAUAUUCCCAUAGAUAUCACCUAAAGUAUUUGUGUUUAAAUAACUAGAUUUCUAAUUGCUAUAAUUUUCAUCAUUGUUUCACUAUUGUUUUUUUCCUUCAUCAUUACUGUAGGCCAAUUCCAUUUACUUUGCUGAUAGAAGAUACUCACCUGUGUGCCAUCUAGCAUUAUGUUCCCUCCUUUUCUUUUUAAGUGGAGAUAUGUUAUUGUGCAGAGCAAUUCACAUUCUCAUCUGUCCUCCUGAAAUUUCAUAUCCUAUGCCUGAAUUUUGUUGAUUGGCAAAUGCCUAACUAUUCUCCCUCCAUGGGAAGCAAUCAAGAGGGGGAACCAACUUAAUAUUCCUUGGGAGUGAGUCUCACAGUCUUUGUGUGGGCAUACAAUUACUGUUGGUCCUUUA
ensembl:lncRNA